NNAUGCGAUCAUACCAGCACUAAAGCACCGGAUCCCAUCAGAACUCCGAAGUUAAACGUGCUUGGGCGAGAGUAGUACUAGGAUGGGUGACCUCCUGGGAAGUCCUCGUGUUGCAUUCC
rnacentral:rRNA from 1 species